CAGGCUGCAUCAGAACGCCGAGGAGACUGGGAAGUCCCGCCGGUGCGGCAGACCAAUGCUUUGUUCCUGGCAACUCACCUGGCUUCAGAACGGCACGGGGGAUCAGUCCAGGUGAUAACCUCCACCAACGGUGAGUUGAACAUCGACGAACCGCCAGGAGUCCCUUCCAAUACCCAAAUUGCAGAGCGCACCGAAGUGGAAGUAGUGGAGGAAGCUAAGUGCUGCUGCUUCUAUAAGAGGAAAAGGAGGAAGUCUUCCCAGCGCCACAAGUGACAGGCGUCUCCUUGAGGUCUCUGGGGGACUUUGUUUACCUGCCGUUCCUGCCACGUCUUAUUGAACGGGGCUCCUCUUGGGGAGAGGAUGAGAAACAAGGGACAUCUUAAACCAAAAAAAGAAAGAAAGAGAGAGAGAGAGGAAAAAAAGGGGGGCAGAAUUCCAAAAUAAACACUCAGGUGGAUACCCUCACCGGUCUCCCUCGCUCACUGAAAAUCGUUUUGGAAUUGGGAUUGCAUCCUCUCGGGCCACUGCGGGCCCACAUGCCGGAAGUCUUGGCCGGCUGGCUGGCCACCUUCCUCUCCGUGCAAAGAUUCGGCAAGGGAGGGGGACGUUCCUGGCGAAUGCACUUUGCGGUUCCUCCUCCCUUUUCCUGGUUUUCUUUUUUUUUGGUUCUCGGCGUGAUUCCCUCGACCCCCGCACUGGCAGAGGAGCUUGACUGACCGUGGGGCCAAGUUGGUGGCAGCGGUGGCGGAAGGAAGAUGCUGUCGCCGGGAGGGCAGCACAAUUCCUCGUCCUCCGAUUCGCUUAGAGAAAGUUGCCUCCGCAACUAAGAACCCGGUCCUCUUUUGGUCGCCUUCCGGCAAAUUCCAUGGCAGUAAGAGAAAUUGCAAUCUUCCAGUUGCCUUGAUUUUACUGGUUUCUGUGAUGUCUCCCUUCUUGGAAUGGUUACGGAGAAGUUUUGAUUGUUCUGACGGGACUGUGGUUGUCGUUGCACUUUUUAAUUUUUUUUUUAAGCAUUGUUGUAUGAAUAUGGUGUAAGGGGGUGGGUGUCCCCCCCCCCACCUCAUGGGUCUGAAUGAUUGAACACACCUUCAGCUUGUAUUCAGCAAGUGCAAAGCUCUCCCUUUCACUACGUUUUCCCGCACAGUUUCGAUUCUCUUAGGAGCACUCUGGGAUUUCUAGAUCCUCCUAUUUUGGUCGUGCACUGAAGCUUACUUGAAUUUUCAGCUGCCUGCUCUGGCUGUCAGUGGACACCCCCUCAUCGCGGUUUUUUUCCCCUCCAACGGUGCCUGACCUCACUCGCUUGGAACUGUGGGGGCCUUUCUGUCGGUGCAGCGUGGAGAGAAGUUGGCUGGGUGCAGAGAUGCCAAUUCAGGUUGUACGAUGAGCGUAAAUGGAAAAGCUGGGCAUUUUGGGUGGCAGGGAAAUGAAGCUUGGGAUAAACUUUUGUCACUGCCUUAGACUCCCUUCUCUGCUCAGUCCUGGCCAAGAUUU